UAGAAAUAAAUUUAAUUUAACCUUGACAUUUACUUUUUUCUUUUUUAAUGAAUUAUUUGUUAAGUUAAAAAUAAUAAGGGAUAAGCUUUAUUUUUUUCUAUAAUUUUUUUUAUUUUUUGAAUUUAGUAGGAAUAAAAUCACCCGUCUUUAUAUUACGUUAUAGUAUAAUUCAUUUAUAUUAAAUUUUCUUUGAUUUAGAUUUAUUAUUAAAAUUUAUUAAUUAAUUUUAUAUUAAUAUUAAUUAUGAUUAAAUUAGUAUAUAAUUAUGUUUUUAGUUUAUUAUAUUCUAUAUAUAUUUGAGGAACUCGGCAAAUAUUAUGUUCGCCUGUUUAUCAAAAACAUGUCCUUUCGUUUUUUUUUGGAAGGUCUGGCCUGCCCAGUGAAUUAAUUUUAACGGCCGCGGUAUAUUGACCGUGCAAAGGUAGCAUAAUCAUUAGUCUUUUAAUUGAAGGC
rnacentral:rRNA from 1 species